CCCGAUUCGAGGCGCGACGAGAGCGACCGCAGCGGGAGUGACCGCGUCGAAUCCAUCGAUUCGAGGAGGGGAGAGGAGCCAAUCCAUCCAGUCCGGAUUUGAGUGGCAGAGACGAGCGGCCGGUUCAGUCGAUUCGGUCAACCUGAGGUGCGGGAUGGGAUCGAGGCAAGUACAUGUGUGCGCUGGAUCGACCGGAGGAGCAAGAUCCGGGUCCAGCCGAUGUAGUCCGGAGCUGAAGCGAGGAGGCGCACGAUGCGGCUGAAGAAGUGGUAGUACUCCCAAAGGCGAUGCAGAUACAGAGGAGGAGAGGCAUCGAUGCAUCGAGCCAAGGCAAUGUGAGGCGCGCGAUUCAAUCGACCGGAGUUGCAGGCAUGCGCUGGGAUUAACCGGGGGCACCUACCAUCACUCGUAUCCUUGUCGACUUCUUCCUCCAUGCCCUCAUCCGUCCAUCCACCCCGGGUGGCGGCACGCCGCUCGCGCACCACAGGCGCCCCCUUCAGGUCAGAGCCCAACUCACCGCCGUCGGCCGCAGCGGCCAGGCUGGGCCUCUCCUUCUACCGGUCCUGAGAUCCACCGACACCAGCCCCGUCGUCCAGCGUCGGGUGCCUAAGAUCGGCAUGCCUCCUCCCGAUGUGAGUUUCACUUGGAAUUAUAUUUUUCUGCUGACUGUAGGAUGGAUGAAAGUGAAGUGCGUUUGCCGGAAUACAUCUGUACUUUGUUCGUGUUGUGACAUUGUUAAGGGAUUUGUUAAUUCAGCAAAAUGAAAUUUUUUUCAUGAGAGAUGGAUAAAUAGGCCGAUAUAUACUUGCAGGCAGUACAGUUCUGGGAAUACUGUGUUAAUGAAUGAAUCUCAUCUCCACAAAGUUGCUUCGUAGAUCUUUUUUCUUCCAGAAUCUUCUGAAUUCAUUUUGGUCAGAUGUAUACUUGCAGUUGCAGGUUUAUCUAGAUGAAAAGGGUCUUUCAAUAUUAGGCUGAUGCUUCAACUAAGCACGUCUCUUUUUUAAUCUAUGGCGGAUAUAGUCUAACACUACUUUCCUUCCUACUAACAGGUAUUUUCAUAUGGCUGAAAGAAUUAACUGCUACAGAUUUCAGAAACUGUUCAACUACACAAUUUUUGCUUAUGUCUUUUUCAAUCAGUUUUGAACUUUAACUCCCUGUUGUAUGGAUGCAUAUUAAUUUUCAGUGCACAAAAUUCAAGGGUUUGAACUUUUUUCCUUUGCACUUCCUAGCGACCUGGACCAGCGCCAUGGUAACGAGCGUGUCCCCUAUCCUGACCUUCAACUUAGCGGCAGAUCCGCUGGUGGAACCGGUGUCCCUAGGUGAGUAAUCGUCCAGAUGGACGUUGUGCUUCCGCCCAACAGGUACUACUCCUUCAUCUCAUCUUUUCAUCAGCUAAUUCAACACGUGUAGUUCGUCCACCUCUUCUUUUGGAUCUGAAUCAAGUUGUGUUAUAUUGAUCCCCAUCCCCUCCAGUGAAUAUUUCUCUAAGAGAAUUUUAAUUAAGAAGAUCCGUUCUAGGUAGAGGAGUAGAGGCAUUUUUUCCACAGGGUGGUAGUGAGGUGUUGCAGAUUGGAGCACCAUCAGCAGUUCUUGAGCACCAUGGCAAGGCAAAGGUGCUCCGUGUGCCUUGCAUCCCAAAAAUUAGCAUUAUGUAAAAAUCUGGUUCAUCUGAAUCUAACAUGAAAACAUAGAAGAUUUAUUAGAUGUGAAAAAUCCUAUGAGCAACAUACUAAUCAACAUUCUGCAUUAGAUUGCUUAGUUGGGAGCUAGAACCUUAAAAAAAGUGAAUUAAGCUAGAUACAUAAAAAUUAGGCACUCACAGUGACUCCAAGCCCAAGUAGGCAGUCAGACAUCUUGGCAUUCUACUGUUGGAGAUGACGAGCUUCAGAUGUGAGAUGGUUCUGUUGAAGUAACUGUGUGUCUGGGCGGUCUUGCCGUUGACCGUUGCAUCCAUAUGUGGGGUUAGCUGGUCCUGUACCUCUUCCGGUGGUAGGGACUGGGCGACAACUGAAAGUCCUUCUCAAAUUUGAGCUCCAUUUUUUUAAAAUCCCCUAUUUUUUGCACGUUGAUGAUGACCAUUUUGGACUGUAUAAUUGCUCUUGAUAUGGUUUAUAGCUUCCUUUUACUACUCUUACCAUCGUCCAAUCAAGUUCAUCCAUGUCAAACCCUAUAGCUAGAAAUAGAGUAGUGUCGAAAAGAAGGUUUGAUUGUACUAUUUAAUUGCUCAUCAAUUUCAGUGUAUACUUUCUUCACUUGGAAAACUUAAACCUAAAAAUUAAACUGGUGGUCUAUAUGAAAUAACACAUCAGAUUUCUACUGAGUGAUGCCUCACUUGUUAUUUGUCUUGCAGAUUAGAGUAAUAACUUGAUGAUCAUUCUCAACCUUGUAUUCGUAUUUUUUUAGGAGAUCGUAUUUUUUAGGAGAUUGAUCCAAGAAAGAAUCACACAUUUGCAAUAUGUACUUCAUAAGUGAAAAAAUGGUUUCGAACUAGGAAAUCUGAAACUGUAGUCUUGUAUAGCAAGACGUAUAGUCUCAGAUUAUUAUUGUAGAUUGUCUUAUUUUAUAAUGUAUUCUGUUUCUUGAAUAUAUAUUCCAAAAUUUCUCACGUACUGUUUCGGCAAAGAGGGAGAAAGGAGCUGAUUGCAGAGCACUGAAAUAUUUCUUGGCUGCCAAAGCUCCGUGAUCGCUUACACAUGUAUAUUAUCCAUGUACUCUGGGUUAUCUGGGAUCAAUUACAACAAGGCACUUGGAUAUAUUUUAUAAAAGUGGUAUUUUUGUCAAUUUAAUAUACUUCCAUCACACUGUGUUUAUUUAUUCAUGCUAUUCUGAUGAGGAUAUGGCUAUGCAAGGCAUCCGUGCUUGAUAAUUGGUCAUACAGUGAUGUGUUACUUCUUGUGGCAUUCAUUUGCAGCAGAAUCAGAUGCAAUAAAGUCUGAAAACUAGAUUGUUUUUGCUCAUAUGACAAAGAUAAUGGGAAUUUUUUUGGGCGUAUUGAUCAUGCUUGCCUUUCCCUGAGCUCCAGCUAUUCAUGCUACUGCAUCUAAUAUCAAUUGUAGCUAUAUAGAGGUUGCCAUCAUUAUGCUAUUAGAUAGACAUAAUCUGUGGACUACUCCCUUCGUAAAGGGUACCUUUUUUUCAGUUCUUAUACCUUUUCGUAAUGUUGUGACAGAAACAAAAUGUAAAGUUAAAAGAAUGUUUACCUGAGCGCAUCACAUGUGUCUCUUUUUAUUUAUUUAAUUAUUUUUUAUUUUUUUACUACCCAAUUAUGGGAGUUUAUUCAAAUUUAAUAUUCAUGUUCUGUAGCUUGGUUUAAUUAAAAUUCAUUUUGUUCUAUGAGCUAUGAGUAAACUGUCCAAAUGCCCCCCCCCCCCAACCACACACAUAUAUAAAAAUAUAUAAAUACAUACCAUUUUAUUGUCAAAAUAGAUGGGCGCGGCAACGCGCACCAUCAAUGAUCUAGUAAUAUUAACAAUAGCUUGUGAACUGAAGUUGUCUCCCAUCUUCAUGAUCUUAUUUUGUUAUGUUUACUUCCGUUGUAGCAGGUAUACAACAGUCCUGGUCUCCUUAUUGGGAGGUUUUCCGUAACCAGUCAUGUUCUGAGGGAAUAGUACUUCCAGCCCCUAAAUUGUUGGAUGUAAUGGAGUAUGCUUAUUGGAAAGGCUGCUUCUUGGCCCGUGCAAAGUUAGAAGAACAAGCAACACACCCAGCAAUCAAAAUUUCAGAAAUGGUGUCUGGCAUACCAUGCUCCAGGAAAGGAAGACGUGUGCUUAAUGUAUAUGUACACUAAGAUUGCCGACAUUGACCAACACAAAGUAGAAGCAACCAACUCAAAUAUGCAGUUUCAGAACGUCUGUUUGGCCUAUCAUGCUACAGCAAAGAUAGUCAUUAUAGAUUCUGUUGGAUCCCUAUUCUGAGUAUGAAAUUGAGAUUAUGUAUGUAUGUUUUCAACACAGGUAGUGAGCGAUUAUUGAGUAUAAACUUGCAAUCCCGGGAUUCUGGGCGCGAAGUUGGAUUCUGGGCGCGUCCAGAAGCGGAUCGCCGUGCGAUCCUGGGCGUCUCGUCUUCGCCGGCGUCACGUAGACGGGACCGCGGCCUAGUCUCCCAGUCCACGUCCUUCAAGUCGCCGCCUCCUUAUAUGAUUUUCUGUAUGACCUUGUGUAUUAACUAUUGUGUAUGAACUUGCAUUACUUACUACUGAAAGGGGAGCAGCGCCUGUUGAGACCCUGUGCGUGUCCAGAAGGGGGUCGCCGUCGGA